UCAAGUUCGAACGGCAGCAUGAUCUAGCUUGCUAGAUUGAUGGCGAGUGGCGAACGGGUGAGUAAUACAUCGGAACGUGCCCUGUAGUGGGGGAUAACUAGUCGAAAGAUUAGCUAAUACCGCAUACGACCUGAGGGUGAAAGUGGGGGACCGCAAGGCCUCAUGCUAUAGGAGCGGCCGAUGUCUGAUUAGCUAGUUGGUGGGGUAAAGGCCCACCAAGGCGACGAUCAGUAGCUGGUCUGAGAGGACGAUCAGCCACACUGGGACUGAGACACGGCCCAGACUCCUACGGGAGGCAGCAGUGGGGAAUUUUGGACAAUGGGCGAAAGCCUGAUCCAGCAAUGCCGCGUGUGUGAAGAAGGCCUUCGGGUUGUAAAGCACUUUUGUCCGGAAAGAAAUCGCACUUACUAAUACUAGGUGUGGAUGACGGUACCGGAAGAAUAAGGACCGGCUAACUACGUGCCAGCAGCCGCGGUAAUACGUAGGGUCCAAGCGUUAAUCGGAAUUACUGGGCGUAAAGCGUGCGCAGGCGGUUGUGCAAGACCGAUGUGAAAUCCCCGAGCUUAACUUGGGAAUUGCAUUGGUGACUGCACGGCUAGAGUGUGUCAGAGGGGGGUAGAAUUCCACGUGUAGCAGUGAAAUGCGUAGAGAUGUGGAGGAAUACCGAUGGCGAAGGCAGCCCCCUGGGAUAACACUGACGCUCAUGCACGAAAGCGUGGGGAGCAAACAGGAUUAGAUACCCUGGUAGUCCACGCCCUAAACGAUGUCAACUAGUUGUUGGGGAUUCAUUUCCUUAGUAACGUAGCUAACGCGUGAAGUUGACCGCCUGGGGAGUACGGUCGCAAGAUUAAAACUCAAAGGAAUUGACGGGGACCCGCACAAGC
rnacentral:rRNA from 1 species